GAUGAAGAACGUAGCGACAUGCGAUAAGUAAUGUGAAUUGCAGAAUUCAGUGAAUCAUCGAAUCUUUGAACGCACAUUGCGCCCGCCAGUAUUCUGGCGGGCAUGCCUGUUCGAGCGUCAUUUCAACCAUCAAGCCCCAGGCUUGUGUUGGGGACCUGCGGCUGCCGCAGGCCCUGAAAACCAGUGGCGGGCUCGCUGUCACACCGGGCGUAGUAGAUUUUAUCUCGCUCAGGGCGUGCUGCGGGUUCCGGCCGUUAAAAAGCCUUUUUUACCCAAGGUUGACCUCGGAUCAGGUAGGAAGACCCGCUGAACUUAAGCAUAUCAAUAAGCGGAGGA
rnacentral:misc_RNA from 1 species